AUGGCCUGGGCCCCUCUGCUCCUCACACUGCUCACUUACUGCUCAGGGGUCAGUUCGCAGCCCGUGGUGACUCAGGAGCCCUCGAUGUCGGUGACCUCAGGAGGGGCUGUCACUCUGUCCUGCAGCCUGAGCACUGGAGCCAUCACCACCAGCAACUAUCCAGCCUGGUACCAGCAGAAACCAGGCUCUGCUCCUCAGCUGCUUAUAUACAGCACCAAUUCCAGACCCUCCGGAAUCCCUGCCCGGUUCUCUGGGUCCAUAUCCGGUAACAAGGCUGCCCUGACCAUCACCGGUGUCCAGGCAGAGGAUGAGGCUGACUAUUACUGUGCUGUAACAACUGGUA